rnacentral:sRNA from 1 species
CACUACAUAUGAUACUACCUAUAUGGGAAGCGUUAACACUUGCGGCAAAUCAGAUAAGCGAGUGGGUACUUUGUAUAUUAAAUUAUUUCUUUGACGACAUUGGCUUAUUAAAUUGCCGAAGAUAACAUGUUUCAGCAACAUCUGUCAUUACAUUUCAAUAUUUUUAUAAACGCCAAAGUGUAAACACGCAUUUUCGGAUUUGAGGAGGGAAAAUACUUCUCGACCAAAAGUGAGCCUGGAUUGAUCUUGCUACCUGAACCCGACUGUAGGGGCCGAAAUCCGUGACAAAGCUCUCUGUGCUCUUUAUUAUGUAUUAUGAUCGAGAUAAGGCCGAGGGGCAAUUGCUGUCAGAUGAUCACGAACUGCAACGUUGUCAACACUUCAAAUUUUCUUACCCAAUUUGCAGAAGCAGUGAGGAAGUCGAGCAAGAGGAAACUAUAGAAAAAAGGCUGUAUGACUGUCCUGCGCUAGCAAGAAGAAGUAGUUCUACGUAAGGUUUUUAUUUCCUUGAGGACUUGACUGAAUUAGCGGAUGUGAAAAUUUUUGUUGCAGUCACAUUUGCAUGUGGAGCUAGCGAUUCACGUCAAGCUCCUAUGGGUUGGUAAUUCGGAAAUUUGACAGCAAUCAAAUGUUAUUGUUUUCAACCCAAAACACAUUUCUUUGUCUGCACUUAUUGUUUCCUCUAUUUUAUAUUUUUCCCAAAUAAAUAAAGAAAAACGAGCCAUUGAAACCAAUAAAACAAAGAAAAAUGAUGCGGGAACAGUUUUAAGUGUUGUCAUUAUCAAUUUUUUUUUGUCAAUUUCCUCACUAUAAACAAAGUACUACUAUUCCGUCUAUUUUAGCCAAAAUACUGGCUGCCGCCCUUGUUUUAUGGAGUUUGACAGCAUUCAGCUCGAAAAGCUAAAUGUUAUACACAGCUUGUCGAUGAGCAAGCCUGUGUCGAUCGGCACCACACGGAAUGGAACUUUGAGAUCCGAUUUGUAUAGUGGUCAUCGCUAAUACGUAAAGCUCAGCUGGGAGAUACCGGUCGCAUUCACAUCUUGCGAAUGGUGGAAUGUUCCAUCCGGAAAAAAAUGUAAUUGCAGUCGCAGACAAUCAGGGUCUCAGCGAGCGGCUCCGGCUAUUGCUUAAUCAUUAAGUGCCUACAAUUUUCGAUAUGACAAGACAAGUUAUGGGCGCCUUUAAUCAACCAUU